rnacentral:rRNA from 1 species
GGUUAAGCGACUAAGCGUACACGGUGGAUGCCCUGGCAGUCAGAGGCGAUGAAGGGCGUGCUAAUCUGCGAUAAGCGCCGGUAAGGUGAUAUGAACCGUUAUAACCGGCGAUACCCGAAUGGGGAAACCCAGUGUGACUCGUCACACUAUCAUUAACUGAAUCCAUAGGUUAAUGAGGCGAACCGGGGGAACUGAAACAUCUAAGUACCCCGAGGAAAAGAAAUCAACCGAGAUUCCCCCAGUAGCGGCGAGCGAACGGGGAGGAGCCCAGAGCCUGAAUCAGCAUGUGUGUUAGUGGAAGCGUCUGGAAAGGCGCGCGAUACAGGGUGACAGCCCCGUACACAAAAGCGCAUGUGCUGUGAGCUCGAUGAGUAGGGCGGGACACGUGGUAUCCUGUCUGAAUAUGGGGGGACCAUCCUCCAAGGCUAAAUACUCCUGACUGACCGAUAGUGAACCAGUACCGUGAGGGAAAGGCGAAAAGAACCCCGGCGAGGGGAGUGAAAAAGAACCUGAAACCGUGUACGUACAAGCAGUGGGAGCACCCUUUGGGGUGUGACUGCGUACCUUUUGUAUAAUGGGUCAGCGACUUAUAUUCUGUAGCAAGGUUAACCGAAUAGGGGAGCCGGAGGGAAACCGAGUCUUAAUUGGGCGUUAAGUUGCAGGGUAUAGACCCGAAACCCGGUGAUCUAGCCAUGGGCAGGUUGAAGGUUGGGUAACACUAACUGGAGGACCGAACCGACUAAUGUUGAAAAAUUAGCGGAUGACCUGUGGCUGGGGGUGAAAGGCCAAUCAAACCGGGAGAUAGCUGGUUCUCCCCGAAAGCUAUUUAGGUAGCGCCUCGUGAAUUCAUCUCCGGGGGUAGAGCACUGUUUCGGCUAGGGGGCCAUCCCGGCUUACCAAUCCGAUGCAAACUGCGAAUACCGGAGAAUGUUAUCACGGGAGACACACGGCGGGUGCUAACGUCCGUCGUGAAGAGGGAAACAACCCAGACCGCCAGCUAAGGUCCCAAAGUCAUGGUUAAGUGGGAAACGAUGUGGGAAGGCCCAGACAGCCAGGAUGUUGGCUUAGAAGCAGCCAUCAUUUAAAGAAAGCGUAAUAGCUCACUGGUCGAGUCGGCCUGCGCGGAAGAUGUAACGGGGCUAAACCAUGCACCGAAGCUGCGGCAGCGACGCUUAUGCGUUGUUGGGUAGGGGAGCGUUCUGUAAGCCUGUGAAGGUGUGUCGUGAGGCAUGCUGGAGGUAUCAGAAGUGCGAAUGCUGACAUAAGUAACGAUAAAGCGGGUGAAAAGCCCGCUCGCCGGAAGACCAAGGGUUCCUGUCCAACGUUAAUCGGGGCAGGGUGAGUCGACCCCUAAGGCGAGGCCGAAAGGCGUAGUCGAUGGGAAACGGGUUAAUAUUCCCGUACUUGGUGUUACUGCGAAGGGGGGACGGAGAAGGCUAUGUUGGCCGGGCGACGGUUGUCCCGGUUUAAGCGUGUAGGUGUGUGUUCCAGGUAAAUCCGGUUCACUUUAACACUGAGGCGUGACGGCGAGGCACUACGGUGCUGAAGCAACAAAUGCCCUGCUUCCAGGAAAAGCCUCUAAGCAUCAGGUAACAUCAAAUCGUACCCCAAACCGACACAGGUGGUCAGGUAGAGAAUACCAAGGCGCUUGAGAGAACUCGGGUGAAGGAACUAGGCAAAAUGGUGCCGUAACUUCGGGAGAAGGCACGCUGACACGUAGGUGAAGUGAUUUACUCAUGGAGCUGAAGUCAGUCGAAGAUACCAGCUGGCUGCAACUGUUUAUUAAAAACACAGCACUGUGCAAACACGAAAGUGGACGUAUACGGUGUGACGCCUGCCCGGUGCCGGAAGGUUAAUUGAUGGGGUCAGCGCAAGCGAAGCUCCUGAUCGAAGCCCCGGUAAACGGCGGCCGUAACUAUAACGGUCCUAAGGUAGCGAAAUUCCUUGUCGGGUAAGUUCCGACCUGCACGAAUGGCGUAAUGAUGGCCAGGCUGUCUCCACCCGAGACUCAGUGAAAUUGAACUCGCUGUGAAGAUGCAGUGUACCCGCGGCAAGACGGAAAGACCCCGUGAACCUUUACUAUAGCUUGACACUGAACAUUGAGCCUUGAUGUGUAGGAUAGGUGGGAGGCUUUGAAGCGUGGACGCCAGUCUGCGUGGAGCCGACCUUGAAAUACCACCCUUUAAUGUUUGAUGUUCUAACGUGGACCCGUAAUCCGGGUUGCGGACAGUGUCUGGUGGGUAGUUUGACUGGGGCGGUCUCCUCCUAAAGAGUAACGGAGGAGCACGAAGGUUGGCUAAUCCUGGUCGGACAUCAGGAGGUUAGUGCAAUGGCAUAAGCCAGCUUGACUGCGAGCGUGACGGCGCGAGCAGGUGCGAAAGCAGGUCAUAGUGAUCCGGUGGUUCUGAAUGGAAGGGCCAUCGCUCAACGGAUAAAAGGUACUCCGGGGAUAACAGGCUGAUACCGCCCAAGAGUUCAUAUCGACGGCGGUGUUUGGCACCUCGAUGUCGGCUCAUCACAUCCUGGGGCUGAAGUAGGUCCCAAGGGUAUGGCUGUUCGCCAUUUAAAGUGGUACGCGAGCUGGGUUUAGAACGUCGUGAGACAGUUCGGUCCCUAUCUGCCGUGGGCGCUGGAGAACUGAGGGGGCUGCUCCUAGUACGAGAGGACCGGAGUGGACGCAUCACUGGUGUUCGGGUUGUCAUGCCAAUGGCACUGCCCGGUAGCUAAAUGCGGAAGAGAUAAGUGCUGAAAGCAUCUAAGCACGAAACUUGCCCCGAGAUGAGUUCUCCCUGAGACUUAGAGUCUCCUGAAGGAACGUUGAAGACGACGACGUUGAUAGGCCGGGUGUGUAAGCGCAGCGAUGCGUUGAGCUAACCGGUACUAAUGAACCGUGAGGCUUAACCUU